CAUAUAUAGCCACUGUGUGGCCCUCAUGACGUAUCGUCCCCAUUGCCCGCGAGCGGUUCAUGAUCUCUGACCUUAUAGCCACGUCCUGGGUUAUGGCAAUGGUGUGUCUUUGUGCUCUCUCUGGUGCCACAGCUGACUUGCGCACUCGGAACGUUGAGGUGAUCUGGGAAGGAUCAAGGCCUCUGUUCAGACCUAUAGAGGACAGGAGCUU